rnacentral:rRNA from 2 species
CGUAAUAACAGAAACUAACCAGGAUUCCCUUAGUAACGGCGAGUGAACUGGGAUACCAAUAUAUUUAUGCGUCUCUGGCGCAUAUUUUUAGCCCGUCGAUACUAUCCUAGCGUAUUACCGGUUUCGGCCGGUAGCCCAAUACGCGGGAAUUGUAGCAUCGUAAUAAAAUAUACACCAUGCCUGCGUCGCAAACGUAUAUACACGUAUACUCACACACACAUACUCGUACGCGUACACACCCCUUGCAAACACACAGCGCUCCCGCGUUGGAAAGCAAGUCUAUAUCCUCUUUGGAUAUGCCAUAGAGUGUGACAGCCACGUUUGAAACACCCUACGUACCGUACACACACACAUACGUAAAAAUACGCGCUGCUUCGCAUACGCAUACCGUAUAUAACCUGAGUCGAGUUAUUU